rnacentral:rRNA from 1 species
ACUCCUACGGGAGGCAGCAGUGGGGAAUAUUGGACGAUGGGCGCAAGCCUGAUCCAGCCAUGCCGCGUGAGUGAUGAAGGCCCUAGGGUUGUAAAGCUCUUUCACCGGUGAAGAUAAUGACGGUAACCGGAGAAGAAGCCCCGGCUAACUUCGUGCCAGCAGCCGCGGUAAU